UGUUGCCAAGCUAAACUGGACAAACCCCAACGUCCAGACAUUGAAAUGACAAGUCCACAAGUGGCAAAGUUAUUUAGACAGUUCACCCCAAGGAAUGUGCUGUAUCUCGAUUGACAGGUUUACUUUCAAAAACAGGACCGAAACUAAUAAUACAGCCGUGUAACAUUCAAUGUUUGGUUUCGGCGUUUGGUCUUGCUGGAGGGUCGUUCUUACAAGCCUGAAUCACUCCAGAGACUCUGACUUCGCCGGCUGAACUUGGCGCGCAAACCUUUGUACCUACAACUUUAUGUUUUUUGAAAUUGCAGCCAUGGAACCACAAUCUUUAGACAUGCCUGAUGACAAUUCCUGAGAGCAGCUUGUAUCUUCUGAGGAUUGAUCAUCAGAGGAUUACAAAUAAGCUCUAGCACAAGUGGAGAGUUAAACAGGAAGUUGGGAUUCACCAAAUGGUUCACAAAUCAAAGGUAAUCACAGACCCUGGUGGCAGCGACAGCUGCAGAGAGCCAUAUAGUGGGGAGGGACUCCUCUUUAAGCUUUGUUCAGCCAGUGCAGAUGUUAAAGCCUAAAGGCCAUCAUUGUAGAGGAGGAGGAUGAUGAAGCGACAGCUGUAACUUUGGAAGGAAUUGACACAUGCUACACCAUGAUCCACAGUAGCUAUGAAAAUCAAGAAGGCCUGUUCCAAACCUAGUGGAGAAGGAUCCCUGCAGUGCGGAAACAGGCCCUUUGGCCCAACGAGCCGAUACUGACCCUUCAAAGAGCACCCCACUCGGACCAAUCCCCCUACUCUAUACCUGUAACCCUGCAUUUCCCGUGACUAAUGCAUCUAACCUGCACAUCCUUAAUCACUAUGGGUAAUUUAGCAUGUCCAAUCCACCUAAUUAGUACAUCUUUGGACUGUGGAAGGAAACCAGAACACCCGGAGGAAACCCAUGCAGACACAGAGAGAUCGUGCAAACUCCAUUCAGUCAGUCGCCUAAGGGUGGAAUUGAAUUUGGGUCCCUGGCUCAGUGAGGCAGCAGUGCUAACCUCUGAGCCGCUGCGCAGCCUAAUGCUUCAAGCCUUUGCAAAAUGCCUGUCUCGAACUGGGUGACCACAUCCAUGGAAGUUCAAGCAAAGCUGUCAGGUGAGUCUGUACAGCCAUGGUCGCAGCAGAGACUCAGUUGAGGUAUCACUUGCUUCAACAAAUGUGACGGAUACUUUAUCCUUGGGGAGAUGGUGGUGUAGUGGUAAUUUCACUAGACUAACAAUUCAGAACUUUAGGUUAAUAUUCUGGGAGUAUGGCUUUAAAUCCCACAA